rnacentral:rRNA from 1 species
GGAUCCAGACUUUGAUCCUGGCUCAGGAUGAACGCUAGCUACAGGCUUAACACAUGCAAGUCGAGGGGAAACGACAUCGAAAGCUUGCUUUUGAUGGGCGUCGACCGGCGCACGGGUGAGUAACGCGUAUCCAACCUGCCCAUCACUUGGGAAUAACCUUGCGAAAGUAAGACUAAUACCCAAUGACAUCCCACGAAGGCAUCCGAAUGGGAUUAAAGAUUUAUCGGUGAUGGAUGGGGAUGCGUCUGAUUAGCUUGUUGGCGGGGUAACGGCCCACCAAGGCAACGAUCAGUAGGGGUUCUGAGAGGAAGGUCCCCCACAUUGGAACUGAGACACGGUCCAAACUCCUACGGGAGGCAGCAGUGAGGAAUAUUGGUCAAUGGGCGAGAGCCUGAACCAGCCAAGUAGCGUGCAGGAAGACGGCCCUAUGGGUUGUAAACUGCUUUUAUAAGGGAAUAAAGUGAGUCUCGUGAGACUUUUUGCAUGUACCUUAUGAAUAAGGACCGGCUAAUUCCGUGCCAGCAGCCGCGGUAAUACGGAAGGUCCGGGCGUUAUCCGGAUUUAUUGGGUUUAAAGGGAGCGUAGGCCGGAGAUUAAGCGUGUUGUGAAAUGUAGUGGCUCAACCUCUGCACUGCAGCGCGAACUGGUCUUCUUGAGUACGCACAACGUGGGCGGAAUUCGUGGUGUAGCGGUGAAAUGCUUAGAUAUCACGAAGAACUCCGAUUGCGAAGGCAGCUCACGGGAGCGCAACUGACGCUGAAGCUCGAAAGUGCGGGUAUCGAACAGGAUUAGAUACCCUAGUAGUCCGCACGGUAAACGAUGGAUGCCCGCUGUUGGCCUGAAUAGGUCAGCGGCCAAGCGAAAGCAUUAAGCAUCCCACCUGGGGAGUACGCCGGCAACGGUGCAACU